UGCGUAGGCGGUUUGCUAAGUUGGAUGUGAAAACUCUGGGCUUAACCCAGAGCCUGCAUUCAAAACUGACAAGCUAGAGUUCUGGAGGGGGUAGCGGAAUUCCUGGUGUAGCGGUGAAAUGCGUAGAUAUCAGGAGGAACACCGGUGGCGAAGGCGGCUACCUGGACAGAAACUGACGCUGAGGCACGAAAGCUAGGGGAGCAAACAGGAUUAGAUACCCUGGUAGUCCUAGCCCUAAACGAUGGAUACUUGGUGUGACGGGGAUUGAAUCCCGUCGUGCCGAAGCUAACGCAUUAAGUAUCCCGCCUGGGGAGUACGGUCGCAAGGCUGAA
rnacentral:rRNA from 1 species